AAACUUCGGGCUAACCCCCAGCUCGCUGCCGGCGCCGCCGGACGAGCGUUAGGGCGGCCCCCGAGCCCUCUCCGUUUCCGACGGCGGGAUUCGCUCAGCCUUUUGGAAAUCUCAGGGCAUUUCUCCGGGCCUCGGAGGCCGUGGCUCUGGAGGGUAGAGGAACCAUUGGUAGCGUCGAACCGACUCCCACUUUCCCGAGUGCGCUCACCUCCGCUGUGCUUUGAGCCACCUUUGGGUUCUUCAAUCCGCCAGGAAAGCUCUUGGGUAAAACUGGGCGCUCUUCCUUCCCUCUCUGUACCAGUGUCCCAUAUCCAAUCCACAGUUCCCAGGCAGCAGAAAUGAGCCACCCAGCAGGAACUCAGCAGCAG